UUUACGAUGGCAACUGUUGUUCUUGUUCUGCUCUCGCUAACAAUUGGCCUGAUGUACACGAGCGCGCAGGUCAGUUUGAUCCAACCAGAUUCCGUGUCCACCACACCAGGAAAAACUGUAAUCCUAAACUGUACGGUCCAUGGAAUUAGCCUCUCAAAAAAGUACGUUUAUUGGUACCAUCAGAAGCGUGACAGUGCUCCAAGGUUUAUUUUGUAUGGAAUCGAUAACAGAGGUGACGGUAUCCCAGACAGAUUUACCGGCCUGGAAGACGAAAAAACCAACAUUGGACAUUUGACCAUCGCUAACGUGGAAUCGGAGGACGCCGGUGAUUAUUACUGCUUAUCACAGGAGGAAAGCAGCCACUGUGGUAGGACCAGUGACUCCUUCAAUACCAAAACUCUUCACAGAGCUAGUGCUGGAAUUUAUAUGAACUACUGA